GUGUCACGUCUGAUUUCCCUCCCCCUGCGUCUGUUGACGGUCGUUACAGUGUGUGUUGGCUCCGAUGUUGGUGCCUGUUAGCACUGUGCAAUGGGUUUUAAGAGUGCUAGCCUAUCAGGCUGACUCCCUGUAUGCCAGGGCACUGGUGGCUGCCACGACAGCUGUAUGCCGGUGUUCGUAAGGUGUUGUGCCUGGCGUAAGAAGCGGCUGUUUACCUCUUCGCGCUGUUUUAGCGCUGCUAUUUUAGCCUGCUGUGCGGACGUGACGUCAUUAAAGGGUGCUGCUGGUGUCUGGUCGGUCUUUUAACAUAGCACCGUAGUGCUCUACUUCAUAUGUGUUUUGAGGACAUGAACAUUUUAUGUUUUAUAGAUUAAAUGACACUCUGUAUGA